rnacentral:lncRNA from 1 species
CGAGGAUUCCACGCGCGAAGACAUCGCUCCUUCUCCACCCGCGGCCGCGGAGACCGCGCGCCUCUCUUCCUCGCUCACUACCCCCCGCGUCCUCGCAGGAGCGACACCCCACUGCCGCCGCUCCUCCGCGUCCUUGCCGGACCCGCCGCGGCCGUCCUCCUCGCUCGAUCCUCCUGCUCCCCACUGCCGCCGCUAUGCCGCAUCCUAGCCGGAGCCGCCGCGGCCGUCCUCCUUCUUCCCCACCGCCAUGCCCCGCUGCCGGCGCUACGCCGCGUCCUCACCGGAGACGCGGCCAGAUCGUGCUUCUCCCACUCGGAUCAGCCGCCGGAGCCGACUUCGGCCCCUUCUCCGCCGCCGGAACCGACAUCGACCUCAGCCCCGCGGCCGUCCUUCUUCUUCCCCACCGCGGCGGUUGUCCUCCUCACGGGCUUCUCCUCCGCCCCGCUGCCGGCGCUACGCCGCGUCCUCGCCGGAGCCGCCUCCGUAUCGUGCUUCUCCCACUCGGAUCAGCCGCCGGAGCCACCGCCGGAGCCGACUUCGGCCCCUUCUCCGCUGCCGGAACCGAACUCGACCUCGGCCUCCGACGGCGCCGGGGUGGUCUGCCCUUCCGCCAGACCCACUGCCUCACCCAUAUCAUCGUCGAUCUCGGCUCGCCGGAUUCCUUCGCGACUGUGCAACCAUGACUCCGGAUUGGCCUCUUCCGUUUACCACGCUCCUCCUCCGCCUCGCUCAACACCCAUGGAUCUCCUUUCAGUGAUGCAGUCACAAAGCAUGGAGGGAACUGACGCCUCUUGUCACCACUCACCAACAACAGCAGCAGGAGAAGCGUUGGUCCAACAAUCAGGAGGGCAGACAAAAAAGUCUGAAUCAUCUUUGUUGAUAGGCACCGUCAACUUCCAAUCAAGAGGAUUGCCAUUUAGUUGCAAAGAUCAUUGUGACACAAUUAUGUCCGUGGAUUCUGUUUUGGCCUGUCUUGCUUCUGAAGCACUUGAUUUGGAGAAAAAGGUAUAA